rnacentral:rRNA from 1 species
GACGAACGCUGGCGGCGUGCUUAACACAUGCAAGUCGAACGGAAAGGCCCCUUCGGGGGUACUCGAGUGGCGAACAGGUGAGUAACACGUGAGUAACCUGCCCUUGACUUCGGGAUAACUUCAGGAAACUGGGGCUAAUACCGGAUAGGAAUCCUUGCUGCAUGGUGGGGGUUGGAAAGCUUCGGCGGUUUUGGAUGGACUCGCGGCUUAUCAGCUUGUUGGUGGGGUAGUGGCUUACCAAGGCUUUGACGGGUAGCCGGCCUGAGAGGGCGACCGGCCACAUUGGGACUGAGAUACGGCCCAGACUCCGACGGGAGGAAGCAGUGGGGAAUAUUGCACAAUGGGCGGAAGCCUGAUGCAGCAACGCCGCGUGCGGGAUGACGGCCUUCGGGUUGUAAACCGCUUUCAGCAGGGGCGAAGCUUGUGGUGACGGUACCUGCAGAAGAAGCACCGGCUAACUACGUG